UUGUUCCUGUUUUUGAGAUUACUUAGAUAUCCCUGAAGCAAGUUAAAAAAAAAAACAAAAAAAAAUCUAAGAUCAUAAAUGAUUGCUUCUGCUGUAGUAAGCUGAGUGACAAUUGUUUCAGUCACACUUUCCCCUUCAUUCACACGCUGAAUUCCUUUUCCUGUUGUCAGACUGGCACUCCUCAUGAUGAUGUUUUAUAGUACUUAUCCUUAUCAUACAUACUAUACAUUUUGUUCUCCUUGAAGAUUUAUUUGAAAACUAUAUAGGUCUGAUUAUACAAGCUAAUAUAUGCUAGCACUGUUUAUUUCACUGUUUUUGUUGUUUUGUUUCAUUUUAAUACAUAUUUGACUCAAACCAGACAUAUACCAUGGUAUUCACUGAAAAACACACAUGGCUAUUUUUUACAUACUCAGUUCAUCAGAGCAGUCCACAGCCUGUGUUUGGCGUACUCUCCUUUUACCAAUUAAUUGGCAUGCAAACUUUGCCUCUGCCAGUAACUCUCCUAAUUCAGACUAUAUUUCAUAUGUAAUUGCAGCCCUCCAAGACGUAGUCAUGGACUGUCACGAGUCUUCUUUAUUUAGCAAUCAAAAUUAAAUGCCUGGUACUGUAAUUUACAGGGUUUUUUUUCCUGCAUAUCUCAGCACUUGGGAAAGCUCUUCAAGUCUGCAGCUCUGAAAUUGCAGUAGUAUGUACCCAGCGGUUACUUUCUUCCCAACUGAGAGUAACAGGAAAAGCAGGCAUGAGAAAAGCACCUCACUGCUCACAUCAACGCAGUUCAGAGCAAGCAAAGCAAAAUGCCAUCUGCAAGGGAAUUUGCAAAAGGAGAAAAUAAAAUACCUGCAGAGUUUGGAAACUUGCACAUGCAUGAUAUUUUGUGGUACAACAUAGUUGCUACAAACAGCUUGAGCAGUCGUAAACCAGUAACUGACCAGUGGGAUUGGUCAAGUUCAGAAGACCAGUGUGGAGGAUAAUAAAAUCAGGCUAAACAGUAAUUAUGUAAGGACUUGCUGCCAAUUUUUCCCUAAAGCAUUUGCAAAUUCAGCAUCACUGGGGAAGAUAAACGUGUGUUAAAGGAAAUACAAGAAGAUUUCUUAACACUCUGCUAACUGCAAGAUGCUUUGCCUUAAGGAAGUUGAACACGCAGGAUUUUGAUGCACCCUCAGCAAGUUUGCAAAGGACACCAAGCUGUAUGGUGUAGUGGAUGCUCCUGAAGGAUGAGAUGCCAUUCAGAGGGAUCCAUACAGGCUCAAGCAGUGGGCCCGAGAGAACUUCAUGAGGGUCAACAAAUCCAAAGAUUUAUCAUGAACCAUCUCCUCCAACAACUGGAGCAAGACACUGUGUUAUUCGACGCUUCAUCACAGGAAUCUCUGUUCCUGUCGUUGCAGAAGUGGGACUGAUGUUUGAGGUUGUGGUGCUCAGAACUUCCCCAGGGGCUGGAGAGACCUGUAUAUCUAUAUACAUGCAUCUCAGAUCAUUAAACUUCACCAGAGAGCAGAACUCAAGGAAGAAAACCAAUUACUUCACUAUAAGCGCUGAAAGCUGAUACUUCUGUCUCUUCCCCAACAACCCUAAGAGAUAUGGCUCCAAGAAGCACCUCCAAUGCUCAAAAAUACACAUGGAGGGACAACAGUGAAGCAUAUGGUUGCCAGGAAGCUGGGGGUCAGCGCCACAGAGGUUACAAGGUACAGUUAUCUUACCUGAUGCGGUUCAAAUCCUUGUUGGAUAAAGAGGCUGUUAGCCAGGCUUAAAACAUAGUCUUUGCCAAGGUUUUGUAGUUGUAAAAGCAGUGCAUGGAACGCUUCGUGGUUAAGAUUCCCAUCUGUGUUGCACUAGGAAUAUUUCAAACACACCAAUUACAAGUAUUCCUCAGUAUAGCUUUGGUUGUUCAUUUGCAUCCUCAUUAGAUUGCAGCGUAGGGCUAGUUCCCACUGUAAUUAUAUUUAAAUUCAGCUAACCUAAGCUUUGUAACCUGAUCUUCCUUCUGGUGGGGGCUUUGUAUUUGACUUUAUGGAGGACUUGGCUGAUUACAAGGGAACACCUUCAAUCAGGCGUAGUAGACCAGGCAGAUGUUGUGCAUGGGAUCUUGACUCCCUCCUGUGGCAGGCUGUGGUGCUUUACAACUAAUAGGCUACUGUGGAGUGAAAGGACUCUUGUACUACAAAAGACGUACCAGAGAGGGGGAAGACUCUCUUUCCUGGCUUAGUUCAGACUUGUUUUCGGGCACUGCACCUUCAAGCUCAGAUUCAAGGCUUGUAGUUCCUGCGGCAUGGCUGACGUGGAGAACCUGCAGUUGAAGAGGUCAAAUUAAUGGCAAUUUUAACUGGGAUAAAGGCAUUUUCCUUGUUUGAAAGAUUUACUGGGCUGUCCUGGAUAAGUGAUGUAGAUUUAUUAACUAUCAUAGAAAGGUUUGGGUUGGAAGGGACCUCAAAGCCCACUCAGCCCCAACCCCAUGCUGUGGGCAGGGAUGCCACCACCAGCUCAGGUUGCCCAGGGCCCCAUCCAACCUGGCUUUGAGCGCCUCCAGGGAUGGCGCACCACAGCUUCUCUGGGAAGCCUGUGCUGGUGCCUCAUUGCCCUCUGUGUAAAGAAUAUAUGCCUAACAUCUUACCUAAAUUUCCGCUCUUUUAGUUAGACACCAUUCCCCCUUGUUGAGAGUACUCGAUCUCCAUUGCUUUCCUAAACUAAGCAAGAGUCACUCAGAACCUCAUAAGGAGAAUGAGUUUCCCUUGGCAGCAGCUGACCUGUGGCAAUAUUAUAAUACAAUGGAUGAAGAUCCACCAGGACACAGCCAGAGCCAGCUACUGCCUUAUGCCACAUAUACCUUAGGAGUAUUGGUCACUUACUGCUCUCAGAAACAAAUAAGAAAAGAAAUAAAAGAUCUCAGAGCAUACAGCUUGCACUGCAGGGAGUAAAAGGCAUGGUGACCAGAGGAACAGACUUCUGCAUGCCCACCCUGUACCCCCAGGCUCCGUGUGCUCUGUAGGUGAGACAUGUUGAAUCGUUUGAAUGUCACAGUUGAUAAGUGAGCAGGGAUCACAGCACACCAAGCACUGCUCUCAAGGCAGCAGUUGAGCUUGUGUUUAUCUUUGUCUCCUAAGCACACAUGUUGUGCUGCAAAGCCCAGCAUUGCCACUGGGGGAACAGCAGGCUAUGUGGAAGUAUCUCAGAACAUUUCAGCAGUACUUACUUCUUCUAUCUGAGCAGCAGUGUUGUUUCGUGCCCCUAGAAGGAUCAGGCCAAGGGAGGUAGAGAUGCUCAUUGGAGAGAAGACAAUGUUUUGGCCUUUUGCUGUUCUGUUGAGUUUAUUGUAGAGAUCAAGGCAAAACUCAAUAAUCAUUCUAGAAAUGGAGCCCAUUGUGAAGCCUGCAGCUUACUGGGAGCAAAAAGGGAAAGGAGAAAUGUGAAUCAGCUGAUUGCUUAUCUGUAUCAUACUGUGAAGUAUCUGUCCACCCUAAAAUCAUCCCAUAGAUGGUUGCUAAAUAGUAGAAGUGUGCUGAAUUCUGAGUUUGAAAUAGCUGAUUUUGCACACAUCUAUUAAUUCACACUCAUGUGGAUACAGCAGGAUCUGGAAAGGGGCCCCAAUACUCAUACCAUAUGAGAAUUCCUUAGAGAGAAUUGUUUUUCCAUCUUAUCCCACAGUGUAUCUGAUUCCUUCCAAAAGAGAGUUUCCCGUGAUCUGUCUUACUUGUUCUUAUUUGUAAGCAAAAGGUUGUGGUAUUUAAAUCAGUCAGCUGUGGAUUUCCUUCUACAAACUAGUUUAAUGUGUGUCAUCGCAUCAGUUCUUUCCUCUUGUAACAACAUGAUUAGAGACAGAUUGGGGUGACAGAAACUACACGGGCAUCUAACCACAUCUGGUAACCUGAGCUGCAGUGUGAAGGAUUCAAACAACAGAUUCAUGAAAAUAAAAUUACUAGUAAUUAUUUUCAUGUAUGAAGAAGGAACGUAAGCAGCUAUGAAUGCUACUACCUAUGGAAACAUGCACUGUUUGCAGUAUACUUCAUGUCUCCUCAUUGAUUUGAUAGGAACCACUGAUUCAGAAUGGAUAACGAAUGGCAAUUUCACAACGAAGCAAUAGCUCAGCAGCCCCAGAAAGUCUGUAAGCUUCCUGUUCAAUGGCAGGACAAGAUCUGUCUCAUUCUUUUCUCUUGUACUGUAAAUACAGCAGUCUGAUGCCUUUCCUAUGGGCCAUUAAAUCCACUCUGGUAAGAAGAAUUUGGGACUAAGUUUCAGCUUGGUCUUUUCAUGAAGAAUGCCAUCUGAAAAAAAAAAAAAGGCUUUUAAGAAGCCCUUAUCAGUCCUUUAGGGAAAUAACUGUAAAGCUGUUGUGUGGAUAGCAGUGGAGUACUCAAGUUUUUCUCAAAAUAUUGUACCAUAAAACGCACACAUCAAUUUUAGUGUCAAACAAAGGAUGUUCUGGACAGCACACCAGAAAAAUGUAAGAAAAGCAAAGCAUAUGCUCUUGGCUGCUUGCAGACAUAAGUAACUGUGGCCUGUGUUCCAGAAAGAUAUUUUAUUUAGGGGAAAAUACAUAGCACAGUGUGGAGAGAAAGCACUCAGGUCAGGGUGGCUCUAGCUUUCAGCCUGCUCUGGGACAAGAACUACUCAGCGUCCUGCACUGACUGCAAAGAUGUGGAACACACACUGCCUCUCAUUCAGGUAUGAGAUAGGCAGGAUUUUUGCAUGACAAGUGGGGGCUCAGGCACCAAAGUUACCAGGGUGUAAGAAGUUGCUAUGGCUCUGCUGAGGUGCAGCAAGUUGUCUGUGCGAGCAGCUUAGCUUGCAGCAAGUGCCAGACAAUGGGAAUGAACUCAGCCCACAAGAAAAAAGGCUUAGCCUAAGAUAGACUGACAGGAAAGUCAAGUUGCUGAACAUAUGAAGGUGCUGAUAUGUGGCAAGUGCAGGCAUUUAUUUCCUUUUACCUAACUUGAAAUAAAAAGUUCAUAUAUGUUUCAUUCUAAGACACUUGUUUCACCCUGAAGUCCAGUAGUACUUCAUAUGAAGGCCUAACAUAAAUGGGCAGUCAUCCUACCACAAGAAAAACCCAUUGCAGUAAUCAUUUCUCUUUUCUUCCACCCUCGUUAGCUAUUAUUCACAACCUUCUGAAAACAAAACUCAGCACUUCUUUCAUGUUAAAGUUUGUGUUGCUCCACUUUCACAGCUGGUAAAAGAUCUAAAAUGGAUCUAAGAGGUUGUUUACUGUGAAUGUAGGUCAGGAUGCAUGUUGUAGGUGUGUCUAGACCUCAGAAGGCGUCGAGGAGACAACAGGAGCUAAUGAACUUCCUCAACAGAAGAGAGGCACCUCCACCCCAACCCACAGGGAAAGAACCAACCACCAAGCACAGAGGGAGAGCAUGAGAGCUGGAAGCAGGUCUUAAAGGCAAGCGUCUGGCGUACAGAGGUGUCCAUGCCUUUAGAAAAAGCAGCAGACUGUCUUCAGAGUGACGUCCAGAGUGCCUGAUGAAGAGCAGCAGAGACCCCCAGAUGCCUGCAGGGACUCAUCUCUUGUUGGUUUUGGUGAGUUAGUCCCCUCAUUGCCUUCAAAGAUGUGAACCAAUGUAUCCACUAACUGUCUGAUAUUAAGAUAAGUCAGAGAGCAUUAGAGACUCACAGAGGGAAGACAACUGGUGAAACCCUGAACGUUUGUGACUGAAGGCUACAUGUGGGUUGGGAACGCCAAGAAUCAAAACAGAACUCUCUCCAAAUCCAUAAUAGCCACUGUGCUGUUCUCUGCUAUGAGAAGAAAGGAAUAUGUAUUAAGGGUUGUAUGUUCCCAUUUAGAAAUCUCUAGGUUCUUUCAGAUCUGAAGAACCAAGGGGAAUACUCAGUUAAAAUGGCCCCUUCUUUGAAGAUAUAUAAUUGAACUCACUCUAUAUAUUGACCAAAUAGUACUAUACUCCUUAAUUGUCAGCUAUUAUCGUGCGGUCCAAAAGGGCAAUUCAGUCACAGAUUUAAUUUCUUCAUAUAUUUAUUUUAACUGUGUCCUGAAUGAAUCUACCAAUUUCUGUUCCUAUCCCCUCUUGGAAGCUGAGUGAAGGAGAACAGACUGACACUGGAUGUGCUACAGACAUUUGACACAGGUUUUGUAGUGCUUUAUUCUGAACAGUAAUUAGGUAAAUCAGUACUGAACAUAUGCAGCAGGCAGUCUUUAGAUAGAAAGGAAAACUAAUUACCAUAAUUUCAUAUGGAAUUUGGAGACUUCUAAUUACAGUGUUAAUCUCACUCAAGUCAAAGCCUUUAUUUCUUUCUUGAAUCCCAGAGGUCAGGUAGACGUGUGGAGCCUCCUUAAUGCUGAAUCCAGAAGUGACAGAAAAUCUGUAUCUGAAGAGUGUGGCAUUUUCAAUAUUAAUCCAAGUGAUUUCUAUCCUAGAACUGCACAGCCUUCUUUUUCUCAGGAUAUAUACAACAGAGUUCCUCUCAGCUGCAGUGAACUGGUCACCUCUGCCAUGUCUGAAGGAGAAUGAGUGAAAAAAUCCCACACAGUAGAGUGCAACCUCCCCAA